rnacentral:lncRNA from 1 species
CUGAAUUCCCUUUUCUCCUUCAGAUCCUUUCAAAACCCUAGCUUCCACCCUUUACUACAAUCGUAAAAUCUCCCAAAUCAAUAGCCUCCAAGGUCAUCAGAGGCCUGUAUCCACCUCCUAUGGGUUCUACAUGCCCGAUUAUCAUGGUUUCAAGACUAGAUCUUGGAAAAGUUUGUUCCAAACCUUGGUUGAUUUCAGUUUGUGGUUGUUCUCCGGUCGUCUCUAACUUUUCUCCGGCUAGCCAUGACCAUCCGAGUCAGACCUUUUGACUCUCUUGCUUAGAUUGAUGGUUUUCAAAGCCUUUCUCACCACUUAGGGUUAUUUUGAAAUCCUAAACCUUCAAUGUUAUUCCAAUUUCUUUUAGGUCUGUUUUAGAUCUAUGCUUGCUCUAAACUUCUAAAUGUUUUCUUGAAGUUUCUUUCAAAAACCCUUAUCUUUUCUAACUAGUUUAUCUGUUAAGUUUAUAUAACAUGUUUAGCUGUGUUUCCUUUUGCCAUGCUUCUACUUGAG